rnacentral:rRNA from 1 species
AAUAUUGCACAAUGGAGGAAACUCUGAUGCAGCGACGCCGCGUGAACGAUGAAGGCUUUCGGGUCGUAAAGUUCUGUCCUAGGGGACGAUAAUGACGGUACCCUAGGAGGAAGCCCCGGCUAACUACGUGCCAGCAGCCGCGGUAAUACGUAGGGGGCGAGCGUUGUCCGGAAUUACUGGGCGUAAAGGGUACGUAGGCGGCUAUAUAAGUCAGGUGUGAAAUACCAGUGCUUAACACUGGAAUUGCAUUUGAAACUGUGUAGCUUGAGUGCAGGAGAGGAAAGUGGAGUUCCUAGUGUAGCGGUGAAAUGCGUAGAGAUUAGGAGGAACACCAGUGGCGAAGGCGACUCUCUGGACUGCAACUGACGCUGAGGCACGAAAGCGUGGGGAGCGAACA